rnacentral:rRNA from 1 species
AUUGAACGCUGGUGGCGUGCUUAACACAUGCAAGUCGAGCGAGAACGGUUCCUUCGGGAACUUAGUAGAGCGGCGCACGGGUGAGUAACGCGUGGGUAACGUACCUUGGAGACUGGGAUAACAGUUGGAAACGGCUGCUAAUACCGGAUGGUCUUUACAUUUAACUUUGUAAGGUAAAGAGGGCCUCUGAUUUAAGCUCUUGCUCCGAGAUCGGCCCGCGUCUCAUUAGCUAGUUGGUGGGGUAACGGCCUACCAAGGCAACGAUGAGUAGCUGGUCUGAGAGGAUGAUCAGCCACACUGGGACUGGAACACGGCCCAGACUCCUACGGGAGGCAGCAGUGGGGAAUAUUGCGCAAUGGGGGAAACCCUGACGCAGCGACGCCACGUGAGGGAGAAGGUUUUCGGAUCGUAAACCUCUGUCAGAAGGGAAGAACCGGUUAAGCGCUAAUAUCGCUUAGCCCUGACGGUACCUUCAGAGGAAGCACCGGCUAAC